CGCGUAGGUGGUUUGGUCAGUCAGAUGUGAAAGCCCUGGGCUUAACCUGGGAAUUGCAUUUGAUACUGCCAGACUAGAGUAUGGUAGAGGGAAGUGGAAUUCCGGGUGUAGCGGUGAAAUGCGUAGAUAUCCGGAGGAACAUCAGUGGCGAAGGCGGCUUCCUGACCAAUACUGACACUGAGGUGCGAAAGCGUGGGUAGCAAACA
rnacentral:rRNA from 1 species